ACCUCCGCACAGUUGGGCCGAGCCGCCGCCCCACCUGUUACGCCUUUAGCUGUUUAAAGGUCAACCUAAGUAUUUUCAGCGCGACUUAGACGUGUGCCCAGCCUGCAGCAGAGUUUGGGUUAAUUCCCUCGUUAGAAGUAGUCAGGGAAACUUAGUAGAGCCGCAGACCACGUUUCUCCCUAAGUAAUGCACGCGAACUCCCACAAAUGGAAUCAAAGCGGAAUCAUCUCGUAUGGCUUUUCUAACAGAACCUACACCAGUACUGUUAAGCAUUAUGACGAAGAUCCUUUGAAUGUCUAUUUUAACAAUACUAAAACUUUCCCAAGGCGGGGCCUUUGGAAAUAAUACUAGAAGGACUCUUUUAUGUGUGUGUUGUAUUAUCAUUUUGACAGAAAAACUCUAAAGAAGGAUGCUUUGCCGGCGCUCUGUACUCAAGGAAAUGCCCACUGACGCAGCCUUUGCGGGGAGGCGCGUCCUAAAAAGAUCACUGAGCACAGGCCCUGACAUAUGGUAGCAAUGCAAUAAAUGUUUGUUACGUGAGUGAAUGGAUGAAAAAGCAAAAGAAUAAAGACUUUGCUCUUCACAUGGGUGACCUGGGACUUCCUCAUGACUCUUUAUCAGAGGAUUUAAGACAAAGGGAAGCCUUUGGAAGCAGGGCCUGUGCACCCCCUUGUGUCACCUGGAUGGAAUGUGCUGCCAGCGUUACUUCUCUGCCAAAGAACAGACCUUCCCAAGGCUGAGGAGGAGGCAGCCCUUGCAUGGGACACCGUGACGGAAAUCAAAGCACAAGACAGUGUCGUUUGUCUUUAUCUGCUUAGGGAUUUUUCCUUACCUGUGAAGUGAUCUGGGCUUUCGAGUACAUUGUUAGAUAUGAUUCUCUUUUUAUAGUAGCCCAGCUUUGGUACAAUGCCAUUUUGUGUAAUUAAAAAUAUGUUUAACAGUAGCAUAUUCA
rnacentral:lncRNA from 1 species